UCCUGGCUGGCUCAGUCGGUAGAGCAUGUGACUCUUGAUCUCAGGGUCAUGAGUUCAAGCCCCACGCUGGGUA
rnacentral:tRNA from 1 species